AACGCAGUAACGUCGAUGGUAGUGUGGUGAUUCGCCAUGUGAGAGUAGAGCAUCGUCGGGUUUUAAUUUAUUUAGUGAGUUUAUUAGAAAGUAUAAACUAUAUUUUAGUAAACUGACUAAAUGAAAGAAUUUGAUUGAUAACCAGAGUGCUGUGGCUCUACCUGACUCCAUACCGAACUCAGAAGUAAAACGCAGUAACGCCGAUGGUAGUGUGGUGAUUCGCCAUGUGAGAGUAGGGCA
rnacentral:rRNA from 1 species